GAAAGAAAAAGAGUGGCGAACGGGUGAGUAACACGUGGGUAACCUGCCCAUCAGAAGGGGAUAACACUUGGAAACAGGUGCUAAUACCGUAUAACACUAUCUUCCGCAUGGAAGAAAGUUGAAAGGCGCUUUUGCGUCACUGAUGGAUGGACCCGCGGUGCAUUAGCUAGUUGGUGAGGUAACGGCUCACCAAGGCAACGAUGCAUAGCCGACCUGAGAGGGUGAUCGGCCACACUGGGACUGAGACACGGCCCAGACUCCUACGGGAGGCAGCAGUAGGGAAUCUUCGGCAAUGGACGAAAGUCUGACCGAGCAACGCCGCGUGAGUGAAGAAGGUUUUCGGAUCGUAAAACUCUGUUGUUAGAGAAGAACAAGGAUGAGAGUAAAAUGUUCAUCCCUUGACGGUAUCUAACCAGAAAGCCACGGCUAACUACGUGCCAGCAGCCGCGGUAAUACGUAGGUGGCAAGCGUUGUCCGGAUUUAUUGGGCGUAAAGCGAGCGCAGGCGGUUUCUUAAGUCUGAUGUGAAAGCCCCCGGCUCAACCGGGGAGGGUCAUUGGAAACUGGGAGACUUUGAGUGCAGAAGAGGAGAGUGGAAUUCCAUGUUGUAGCGGUGAAAUGCGUAGAUAUAUGGAAGGAAACAUCCAGUGGCCGAAUGGCGGCUCUGCUGGUUCUGUAACUGAACGCUGAGGCCUCGAAAGCGUGGGGAGCGAACAGGAUUAGAUACCCUGGUAGUCCACGCGUAAACGAUGAGUGCUAAGUGUGGAGGGUUUCCGCCCUUCAGUGCUGCAGCAAACGCAUUAAGCACUCCGCCUGGGGAGUACGACCGCAAGGUUGAAACUCAAAGGAAUUGACGGGGGCCCGCACAAGCGGUGGAGCAUGUGGUUUAAUUCGAAGCAACGCGAAGAACCUUACCAGGUCUUGACAUCCUUUGACCACUCUAGAGAUAGAGCUUCCCCUUCGGGGGCAAAGUGACAGGUGGUGCAUGGUUGUCGUCAGCUCGUGUCGUGAGAUGUUGGGUUAAGUCCCGCAACGAGCGCAACCCUUAUUGUUAGUUGCCAUCAUUUAGUUGGGCACUCUAGCGAGACUGCCGGUGACAAACCGGAGGAAGGUGGGGAUGACGUCAAAUCAUCAUGCCCCUUAUGACCUGGGCUACACACGUGCUACAAUGGGAAGUACAACGAGUUGCGAAGUCGCGAGGCUAAGCUAAUCUCUUNNNGCUNCUCUCAGUUCGGAUUGNAGGCU
rnacentral:rRNA from 1 species